rnacentral:rRNA from 1 species
GUGCUGUGAGGCAUGCUGGAGGUAUCAGAAGUGCGAAUGCUGACAUAAGUAACGAUAAAGCGGGUGAAAAGCCCGCUCGCCGGAAGACCAAGGGUUCCUGUCCAACGUUAAUCGGGGCAGGGUGAGUCGACCCCUAAGGCGAGGCCGAAAGGCGUAGUCGAUGGGAAACAGGUUAAUAUUCCUGUACUUGGUGUUACUGCGAAGGGGGGACGGAGAAGGCUAUGUCAGCCGGGCGACGGUUGUCCCGGUUUAA